UCUGGGGUGGGGGGGAUCCCUCAGCCCAGAUUUCGAGAGGGUACAGACAAGGCUGAGGGACCCCACUGGUGCAUG
rnacentral:pre_miRNA from 1 species